rnacentral:rRNA from 1 species
GAAAGUAAAUAAGGGCGCAUGGCGGAUGCCUUGGCUCAUGGAGGCGAUGAAGGACGUGAUAAGCUGCGAUAAGCCGCGGUAAGGUGCAAAUGACCCUUGACCCGCGGAUUUCCGAAUGGGACAACCCACCCGCGCAAUACGCGGGUAUCACCGCACAGUCGGUGAGGCGAACCGGGGGAACUGAAACAUCUUAGUACCCCGAGGAAGAGAAAAUAAGUUAAUGAUUCCCCCAGUAGUGGCGAGCGAACGGGGAAGAGCCCAAACCGGCGUUGUGGCAACGCAUCGCCGGGGUUGUAGGACCGCGCCGUUGCACGCGGCGUGUGAGGAGAAGCUCCCUGGAAAGGGGCGCCGUAGCGGGUGAAAGCCCCUUAUCCGAAGCACAAAGCGGCAUAGCGGUAUCCUGAGUAACGCGGGACACGAGAAAUCCUGCGCGAAUCUGCCGGGACCAUCCGGUAAGGCUAAAUACUCCCAUGAGACCGAUAGCGAACCAGUACCGUGAGGGAAAGGUGAAAAGCACUUCGACAAGAAGAGUGAAAUAGUUCCUGAAACCAUGCGCCUACAAGCGGUCGGAGCUGCUUAUGCAGUGACGGCGUGCCUUUUGCAUAAUGAACCUACGAGUUACCGUAUCUGGCAAGGAUAAGCGGCAGGAGCCGCGCAUCCGCAGUGAAAGCGAGCCUGAAGAGGGCGUUUUAGUCAGGUGUGGUAGACGCGAAACCAAGUGAUCUACACAUGUCCAGGAUGAAGUCCCGGUAACACGGGAUGGAGGUCCGAACGGAUAAGCGUUGAAAAGCUUCCCGAUGAGGUGUGUGUAGGAGUGAAAGGCCAAUCAAACUUGGAGAUAGCUCGUACUCCCCGAAAGGCAUUUAGGUGCCGCGUGCAGUGUUCUCCCCAAGAGGUAGAGCGACCGAUAGGACGCGAGGGCUUCACCGCCUAUCAAGUCCUGACGAACUCCGAAUGCUUAGGGGACAGUAGCUGCGCAGUAAGGGGACGGGUGCUAAGGUCCGUUCCCGAGAGGAGAAGAAUCCAGACCGCCGUCUAAGGUCCCGGAGUUCUGCCUGAGUUAGUCUAACGAAGUCUGGUCCCCGCGACAGCCAGGAUGUUGGCUUGGAAGCAGCCAUUCAUUUAAAGAGUGCGUAACAGCUCACUGGUCGAGGGUCCGGGCGUGGAUAAUAAUCGGGUAUAAGGCAGACACCGAAGACGCGGGAUAGCAUUGAAAAAAGUAUCGGUAGGGGAGCAUUCCAUGCGCGUUGAAUGCGGCGAGGCGAUUGCCGCUGGAGCCCAUGGAAAAGCAAAUGUAGGUAUAAGUAACGAUAAGGGGGGUAAGAUUCCCCCCCGCCGCAAGACUAAGGUUUCCCGGGCAAUGCCAAUCAUCCCGGGGUCAGUCGGGUCCUAAGGCUCAGCCGAACGGCGAGGCCGAUGGCAGAAAGGGUCAACAUUCCCUUACUGCCGCACGGAGCGACGCGGAGACGGAGGCGUGACACCACCGCGGAGAUACGGAAUUCUCCGUUGAAGGGCGUAGGCGUUGAGGGCGGCAGGCAAAUCCACCGCCCGAGUCGAACCUCGAAAGUAUGCCUUUCCCUUCGGGGCGAGGCAAUAGCGUGGGUAACCAUACUCCCGAGAAAAUCCGCUAAGCUCAAUCCGUGCGGCACCCGUACCGCAAACGGACACACGUAGUCGGGUAGAACAUACUGAGGCGUUGAGAGAUUCAUGGUUAAGGAACUAGGCAAACUGACCCCGUAACUUCGGGAUAAGGGGUCCUCGUCGCAAGGCGAGGCGCAGAGAAUAGGUCCAGGCAACUGUUUAACAAAAACACAGGGCUGUGCCAACUCGAAAGAUGACGUAUACAGCCUGACACCUGCCCGGUGCCGGAAGGUUAAGAGGAGAGCUCAGAGCUUCUGCUCGAAGGUUUGAAUUGAAGCCCCGGUAAACGGCGGCCGUAACUAUAACGGUCCUAAGGUAGCGAAAUUCCUUGUCGGGU